UCGAGUUGUAAUUUGUAGAGGGCGUUUCGGGCGAGGCACCGGUUCAAGUCCCCUGGAACGGGGCGUCGCAGAGGGUGAGAAUCCCGUACGUGACCGGAAGCCAGACCUAUGUGAAACCCCUUCGACGAGUCGAGUUGUUUGGGAAUGCAGCUCUAAGUGGGUGGUAAAUUCCAUCUAAAGCUAAAUACCGGCCAGAGACCGAUAGCGCACAAGUAGGUACGUAUUAUCGAGUCACCCCCCCCCAAGACCCUUGGAACAUUUGCUAAUGGAUCCGUUUAGAGUGAUCGAAAGAUGAAAAGCACUUUGGAAAGAGAGUUAAAAAGUACGUGAAAUUGUUGAAAGGGAAGCGCUUGCGACCAGACCUGCCCGGGGGCGAUCAGCGGCCGUUCUCGGCCGUGCACUCGUCCCCGAUCAGGCCAGCACCGGUUCGGGUGGUCGGACAAAGGUCGCGGGAACGUAGCUCCUUUCGGGGAGUGUUAUAGCCCGCGGCGCAAUGCGGCCAGCCUGGACCGAGGACCGCGCUUCGGCUAGGAUGCUGGCGUAAUGGUGCUCAGCGACCCGUCUUG
rnacentral:rRNA from 1 species